AAAGUCAAGUUACAUGAACAUAACACAAUCUAUCAAAGGUAAGAAGAGACGAUCAACCAGUAUUCUUCAUCUUCUUGUUCCAAAAUCACUGUUUGAAACGAAACAGUCAAUGUCUUACAACAAAGAUGUGAAUGUAAAGUGUUGUACAUGUUCGGAUCCAUCUUGCAUCCAGUGGAGUGAUAUAUAUCCACAUGCUCAAGUAAAUAGGAGAAAUAUGUGGGCAAAGAAGCUAAAGUAAACAUUGUUUCAUUAAAUCAUUAAAGCAUUUCAACACCUUGAGGGUUCUAAAACACACACAAAAUACUGAUUUAUAAAUAUAUAAGCAACUUCUAUGUAUGUUCUUUUACAUACGAGUUAGUAUGAAAACAGCUGCAAUGUUGUUGUUUGACCACAUUUAUUAUUUAAUAGUUAACUUCUGAUGCUUUUAAGAUAAUAUGUUCUUCCCAACUCUUGUCAAUAUGAAACCAAGAGCAAAGUUUCAUCUUUAGACAUGAAAGACCUAUUAAAUGACCAAAUAACAUAGUUUAGCCGAAAGCUUCCUAAUAAAAUUUAUUAUCACUAUCUAAAUCUAAAACUGAAUUCAAUUCAUCUAUCUGAUUAUUAUAUAGUUUUCAUUUUUUCGUUAUUUUAUUGAAUUAAGUAAAAAAAUUAAUUAUAAACGUACUAAUUUUUUAAUAUAAUCUUAUAAAUUAUGUUACGUGUAGGACAUCCACCUAAUAAACUAUUAAUUUAAAUAGUAAUGUUUGAAAAGUAUUUUAUUGACAUUAUUUUAAAUAAAUUCAUAAUUCUAAAAAUAGCAAUAACUUUUUGAGAACAUCAGAUUUAUGUACACACAUAGGACACAUACCUUUUUGUUUACUUAAAGGAAAAUGAACGAGUCUAAAGCUUCCACAUGUUAUAUGAGCAAAACAUGGAUUUUUCUAAAUUAGAUUCGUUUAAAUCGGAACAUAUUAAUGUGAGUUUCUUAAAUUAGAUUUUUAAUAUGUAUAUAUACGUAAGAAUACUUCUUAUGUUUAAAAAAAAAAUAGAAUACUUCAUCUCUUUCCUAAAUUUUUAAGCCAAUAUCAAUCCAUUUCUAUAAUUCAAGAUAAAGAAAUCCCUUAAACUCUCGUUUACGUUCUUAAUUAUCUCCAUCAUUCUCUCACAAGGAAUGAUGGCAGAAGCGCAGAAAAAGAAUUGUCCUCAUAAAAUUCCAAUAAAAGGAAGCUAUUGUGCUCCAACUAUAUGUUUGGAUAAGUGUAAGAAGCAACAUGGAACUGUUGGUAGUUGUGCGGAAGAAAAAGGAUUUUGUAACUGCGCUUGUAAAUAAGGGUUCUCACUAAGUGUUAUGAAUCUAGUAAUGUCCAACCAAAGUUUUAUAUUAUUUCUUUUAACAAUAAGUCUAAAUGUUUGUUUUUGAUUUGUGGAUCUAUUUAUAAUAAAUAAUAAUAUGAAUGUUAAAUAAA